CUAAAUAGAGUUUGAUCCUGGCUCAGAAUAAAUGCUAUCGGUAUGCUUAACACAUGCAAGUUGAAUGUUU
rnacentral:rRNA from 2 species